GUUACAGCCGCCGCGGUAAUACAGAGGUGGCAAGCGUUGUUCGGAAUUACUGGGCGUAAAGGGCGCGUAGGCGGUCGGGCAAGUCCUGUGUGAAAUCCCUCGGCUCAACUGAGGAACUGCACGGGAAACUGCUCGACUUGAGUUCGGGAGAGGGAAGCGGAAUUCCGGGUGUAGCGGUGAAAUGCGUAGAUAUCCGGAGGAACACCGGUGGCGAAGGCGGCUUCCUGGACCGACACUGACGCUGAGGCGCGAAAGCUAGGGGAGCAAACGGGAUUAGAAACCCUCGUAGUCC
rnacentral:rRNA from 1 species